rnacentral:misc_RNA from 1 species
CAGACCUAAGCUCCUCCUCUGACACAAGCUCAUUCCCAUUUUUGCCACUAACAAACUCAGCAAAGGUAGCAGCAGCAGCACCGCCUCCACCACCUAGCAAGCCCCCAACUGCGGUCAAUGAACCCUCCACAGUUGGAGGCGCAGAACCACUCCUAUACAAAUUGAGCUCUCUCUCGAGAUCAUCAGGCUCUUGCCUGCGUUGCUCACGCAGCAAUAACCCUAUUUCCUUCUCCAAAUCAUC